rnacentral:rRNA from 1 species
GACGAACGCUGGCGGCGUGCUUAACACAUGCAGGUCGAACGGAAAGGCCCUGCUUUUGUGGGGUGCUCGAGUGGCGAACGGGUGAGUAACGCGUGAGUAACCUGCCCUUGACUUUGGGAUAACUUCAGGAAACUGGGGCUAAUACCGGAUAGGAGCUCCUGCUGCAUGGUGGGGGUUGGAAAGUUUCGGCGGUUGGGGAUGGACUCGCGGCUUAUCAGCUUGUUGGUGGGGUAGUGGCUUACCAAGGCUUUGACGGGUAGCCGGCCUGAGAGGGUGACCGGCCACAUUGGGACUGAGAUACGGCCCAGACUCCUACGGGAGGCAGCAGUGGGGAAUAUUGCACAAUGGGCGGAAGCCUGAUGCAGCAACGCCGCGUGCGGGAUGACGGCCUUCGGGUUGUAAACCGCUUUCGCCUGUGACGAAGCGUGAGUGACGGUAAUGGGUAAAGAAGCACCGGCUAACUACGUG